rnacentral:rRNA from 1 species
AUUGAACGCUGGCGGAAUGCUUUACACAUGCAAGUCGAACGGCAGCACGGACUUCGGUCUGGUGGCGAGUGGCGAACGGGUGAGUAAUACAUCGGAACGUGCCCAGUCGUGGGGGAUAACGUAGCGAAAGCUACGCUAAUACCGCAUACGAUCUACGGAUGAAAGCGGGGGAUCGCAAGACCUCGCGCGAUUGGAGCGGCCGAUGGCAGAUUAGGUAGUUGGUGGGGUAAAGGCCCACUAAGCCGACGAUCUGUAGCUGGUCUGAGAGGACGACCAGCCACACUGGGACUGAGACACGGCCCAGACUCCUACGGGAGGCAGCAGUGGGGAAUUUUGGACAAUGGGCGCAAGCCUGAUCCAGCCAUUCCGCGUGCAGGAUGAAGGCCCUCGGGUUGUAAACUGCUUUUGUACGGAACGAAAAGGCCCUGGUUAAUACCUGGGGCUCAUGACGGUACCGUAAGAAUAAGCACCGGCUAACUACGUGCCAGCCGCCGCCGUAA